ensembl:lncRNA
UAUAUAUAUAUAUAUAUAUCUCCUAUUCUGUGCCGUGAAGAAAAUGCAGUUCUGAUUAAUUAAUAGGCUCACCAAACACUUUUUUGUUUAGAUCGUUUUUUAAAGACUGAUUUGAAUCUAUGAGUGGACCAGGCUGAGGGAGGCAACAGGACAGAUUUUGAUCUCCAGACAGGAGUUUUCUUUGAGCAAUUGCUAACAGAUUGAUUGUCAGGAGCCAGAAGCAGGAAAGAUGUUCUGCUUGCACAACUUCAAUCAGUUCUCUACCGCAAACAUGGGACAAACUCCGCAGAAGCCUAGUCUAUGUUGUCACCUUGCACUAGUUCUUUUUCUGUAAAACCUGCUCGUAACACUCUCACUAUGUUAUACCUCAUCAUCUAAAGCCUCUCUGCUCUGCCUGCUCUCCCUUAGUUUUAAAUCAAAGAUGGCUGAGUCACAAGGUUUCCACUGACUGUUGAUUUUCCCUUUUCUUUCCAUCAUAACAGUUGUCCAUUAUGCUCUGUGCAAACCUCGACAAGAAUCCCAUGAUUGUGAUGUUUCAGAGCUUCUUUUAUCCCACUUGGGGAGAAUCUCAGAGUUUGAUGUAUGUUGUACAUUAUAUAACUGAGUACACACAGGUACAAAUACACCCUAGUCUGGAGGGAGCUGAUUAUCUGAAGGGCACAGUGAAGGUUUUAAAAUGACUCCCUUAAAAACAGUUCAUGUCUGAAUGUUUGAGAACCAAUCAAGCAAAAAGGCCCUUUCACUCCUUCUCCGAUGCCGUAUGUGAUGUGUUCAAAGCAGAAAGCAGCCUUUUAAUGUGUGGAUCAGAUUUUAUGGAUGGUCUGAUUUGUUGUACUGUCUUUGAAUAAUAUUUUUAAGUUGACAAAUUCCAAAUACCCGGCCUUGAGAUUUUGAGGCAUUAGCAGAAUGCUGUGAAUCACUCAAUACUAAACUGUAUGACUAUACAGAAGCUGAAUGCACUAUACAGGAGAUCUAUUUUUCUGAAUGUAGAGUUGGUACUACCAUAUGGAUGCUGCUGGAUCAAAACAAGAGAAAAAAACUAAUAAAAAAAACCAUUCACACCAACUUAGACAGAAAUAAAUUUAAGGGAGAACAGUAGGCGAGCAAAUACUUUUUUCAUCAUUGCAGUCGCAGUUCUGUUCCAAACACAGAAAGCAACUGGGAUCCCACAACAAGCAUAUUAACAGUAACACAGAAAUAGUACUACCUGCAGCUGCAACUUUUUCCUUUUCCUGAAUACGACUUGAAACACAUGCAGACUCAAACCAUCAGUAAAAUUAAACAAAUGCUACAUGUACACUUACAUACUGUACACAGAUUUAUACAUAUUGCUCUGGAAAGAACAAAUCUUAAAGAUAUAACAAACUAUCCUUCCUGUGAUAUCUGUUCAUUUUAGCCAAUUUUAGUGACAGGAUGAUCAAAACUGCUAACUGUUCCUUGAAAAUGACACAAAACUGACAAGAUACAGAAAGAAAAAAAAGUGCAUCUUUCAGUUCAAUUUCAUCUCCAUAUCUGCAUUAAAAUGAAGAUAUCAUUUGAUCACAAUGAGCAUAUGGUGUCAUCUGUCCAUUUAAUCUUUCUGCAUGUGAUUUAUUUAGUUAUAAUCCUGAAUGUAAUUGUUUAACAUGGAAAUAAUAAAAAAUCUAAUGCUAUUUUAAAGAGGUAUAUUUGAAAAAAAGCUAAUUGUCUUAACUGGUACUGAAAUGACCUACAGUAAUAUAAUACUGGGCUGUGCUUUUCUUGUUUGCCCUAUUAACAUGUUGUUAAGAAGAUGCUGUAUUGGUAGUUCUGUUUGAUUCUCUCUCUCUUUUUUUGCAUCGUAUUAAUCUUAAUUAUGUUUUUCUUCCUCAGCGCAAUAUUCAAUAUCUCUCUGUCUCUUAAAUCUAACUGGUAAAACUAGAACUACUGCAGAUUCAUUGUAAAAGGGAAACAGCCUGGUGAUCAUCAAUUAAAGUACAUUCAAAU